UGGUGGCGAUAGCGAAGAGGUCACACCCGUUCCCAUGCCGAACACGGAAGUUAAGCUCUUCAGCGCCGAUGGUAGUCGGGGGUUUCCCCUUGUGAGAGUAGGACGCCGCCA
rnacentral:rRNA from 1 species